rnacentral:rRNA from 1 species
UACGUAGGGCGCAAGCGUUGUCCGGAAUUAUUGGGCGUAAAGAGCUCGUAGGCGGUUUGUCACGUCUGCUGUGAAAACCUGAGGCUCAACCUUGGGCUUGCAGUGGGUACGGGCAGGCUAGAGUGUGGUAGGGGAGACUGGAAUUCCUGGUGUAGCGGUGAAAUGCGCAGAUAUCAGGAGGAACACCAAUGGCGAAGGCAGGUCUCUGGGCAGUUACUGACGCUGAGGAGCGAAAGCAUGGGUAGCGAACAGGAUUA